AUAGAACCCGGUUCUCAAUUGGGGCAAAGACCAUAUGCUGAUAUGCUCAUUGACCCAUGGGAGUAUUACCUCUCCUGCUGACUCUUUUAGGGAUGUAGUGAGAUAUCUAGGAGGCAGGGACUAUAUAUUGGUUUCCACUUUCCGUUAUGUAUUUGUCAGUUACGCUUAAAUUUGAUCUACUUGAUGCUAUGAGGUCACAUGAUGCAGGUGGGUAAGCAGCGUUCUGGAAGCAGUAGAAGUUAACGAGCAAGUCCAAAAGUUCUAGUGCUUUCUGGUGGUGGUGUUGAUGCAAGUUUAAUGCUGAUUUAGAGGCUAUUGUGAUGCUGCUGUUUUGGUGUAAUUCAAAUGUUGUUUUGAUACUUUUCUGGUGUAAUUUUGGAUCUUUUUUGCUGCUAUGUUGGUGCAACCAUAGUGUUGUAUUAGUGUGAA